AGAGUUUGAUCCUGGCUCAGGACGAACGCUGGCGGCGCGCCUAACACAUGCAAGUCGAACGAGAGAUGAGGAGCUUGCUCUUCAAAUCGAGUGGCGAACGGGUGAGUAACGCGUGAGGAACCUGCCUCAAAGAGGGGGACAACAGUUGGAAACGACUGCUAAUACCGCAUAAGCCCACGGCUCGGCAUCGAGCAGAGGGAAAAGGAGCAAUCCGCUUUGAGAUGGCCUCGCGUCCGAUUAGCUAGUUGGUGAGGUAAUGGCCCACCAAGGCGACGAUCGGUAGCCGGACUGAGAGGUUGAACGGCCACAUUGGGACUGAGACACGGCCCAGACUCCUACGGGAGGCAGCAGUGGGGAAUAUUGCACAAUGGGGGAAACCCUGAUGCAGCGACGCCGCGUGGAGGAAGAAGGUCUUCGGAUUGUAAACUCCUGUUGUUGAGGAAGAUAAUGACGGUACUCAACAAGGAAGUGACGGCUAACUACGUGCCAGCAGCCGCGGUAAAACGUAGGUCACAAGCGUUGUCCGGAAUUACUGGGUGUAAAGGGAGCGCAGGCGGGAAGACAAGUUGGAAGUGAAAUCCAUGGGCUCAACCCAUGAACUGCUUUCAAAACUGUUUUUCUUGAGUAGUGCAGAGGUAGAUGGAAUUCCCGGUGUAGCGGUGGAAUGCGUAGAUAUCGGGAGGAACACCAGUGGCGAAGGCGACCUACUGGGCACCAACUGACGCUGAGGCUCGAAAGCAUGGGUAGCAAACAGGAUUAGAUACCCUGGUAGUCCAUGCCGUAAACGAUGAUUACUAGGUGUUGGAGGAUUGACCCCUUCAGUGCCGCAGUUAACACAAUAAGUAAUCCACCUGGGGAGUACGACCGCAAGGUUGAAACUCAAAGGAAUUGACGGGGGCCCGCACAA
rnacentral:rRNA from 1 species